CCCCUAGAUGUUCUGGGCCGCACGCGCGCUACACUGAACAGUUCAACAAGUCUUAACCUUGGCCGAUAGGUCUGGGUAAUCUUUGAACGCUGUUCGUGAUUGGGAUAGACCUUUGCAAUUAUGGGUCUUCAACGAGGAAUUCCUAGUAAACGCAAGUCAUCAGCUUGCAUUGAUUGCGUCCCUGCCCUUUGUACACACCGCCCGUCGCGCCUACCGAUUGAAUGGUCCGGUGAAAUCUCGGGACGGCGGCUUGGUCGCUUGCGUCCGACUGCUGAAACUUGAUUAAACCAUAUCAUUUAGAGGAAGGUGAAGUCGUAACA
rnacentral:rRNA from 1 species